UUUAACUGAAGAGUUUGAUCAUGGCUCAGAUUGAACGCUGGCGGCAGGCUUAACACAUGCAAGUCGAGCGGAGAGAGGUAGCUUGCUACUGAUCUUAGCGGCGGACGGGUGAGUAAUGCUUAGGAAUCUGCCUAUUAGUGGGGGACAACAUUUCGAAAGGAAUGCUAAUACCGCAUACGUCCUACGGGAGAAAGCAGGGGAUCUUCGGACCUUGCGCUAAUAGAUGAGCCUAAGUCGGAUUAGCUAGUUGGUGGGGUAAAGGCCUACCAAGGCGACGAUCUGUAGCGGGUCUGAGAGGAUGAUCCGCCACACUGGGACUGAGACACGGCCCAGACUCCUACGGGAGGCAGCAGUGGGGAAUAUUGGACAAUGGGCGCAAGCCUGAUCCAGCCAUGCCGCGUGUGUGAAGAAGGCCUUAUGGUUGUAAAGCACUUUAAGCGAGGAGGAGGCUACUUUAGAUAAUACCUAGAGAUAGUGGACGUUACUCGCAGAAUAAGCACCGGCUAACUCUGUGCCAGCAGCCGCGGUAAUACAGAGGGUGCAAGCGUUAAUCGGAUUUACUGGGCGUAAAGCGCGCGUAGGCGGCUAAUUAAGUCAAAUGUGAAAUCCCCGAGCUUAACUUGGGAAUUGCAUUCGAUACUGGUUAGCUAGAGUGUGGGAGAGGAUGGUAGAAUUCCAGGUGUAGCGGUGAAAUGCGUAGAGAUCUGGAGGAAUACCGAUGGCGAAGGCAGCCAUCUGGCCUAACACUGACGCUGAGGUGCGAAAGCAUGGGGAGCAAACAGGAUUAGAUACCCUGGUAGUCCAUGCCGUAAACGAUGUCUACUAGCCGUUGGGGCCUUUGAGGCUUUAGUGGCGCAGCUAACGCGAUAAGUAGACCGCCUGGGGAGUACGGUCGCAAGACUAAAACUCAAAUGAAUUGACGGGGGCCCGCACAAGCGGUGGAGCAUGUGGUUUAAUUCGAUGCAACGCGAAGAACCUUACCUGGCCUUGACAUAGUAAGAACUUUCCAGAGAUGGAUUGGUGCCUUCGGGAACUUACAUACAGGUGCUGCAUGGCUGUCGUCAGCUCGUGUCGUGAGAUGUUGGGUUAAGUCCCGCAACGAGCGCAACCCUUUUCCUUAUUUGCCAGCGAGUAAUGUCGGGAACUUUAAGGAUACUGCCAGUGACAAACUGGAGGAAGGCGGGGACGACGUCAAGUCAUCAUGGCCCUUACGGCCAGGGCUACACACGUGCUACAAUGGUCGGUACAAAGGGUUGCUACCUAGCGAUAGGAUGCUAAUCUCAAAAAGCCGAUCGUAGUCCGGAUUGGAGUCUGCAACUCGACUCCAUGAAGUCGGAAUCGCUAGUAAUCGCGGAUCAGAAUGCCGCGGUGAAUACGUUCCCGGGCCUUGUACACACCGCCCGUCACACCAUGGGAGUUUGUUGCACCAGAAGUAGCUAGCCUAACUGCAAGAGGGCGGUUACCACGGUGUGGCCGAUGACUGGGGUGAAGUCGUAACAAGGUAGCCGUAGGGGAACCUGCGGCUGGAUCACCUCCUUAA
rnacentral:rRNA from 1 species